UCCAAAUAUUGGUGGACUAACAUACUUUACAUCAACAACUUCUAUAGAUGGGAUGAGCUAUGUCUCACAUGGAGUUGGUACCUGCCCAACGAUAUGCAGUUCUUCGUAUUUGGCAGUUUUCUCUUAACUUUAUCGAUCACGCAUUACAAUAUUGCCAUUGGCUUAGGCGUUUUUA